rnacentral:lncRNA from 1 species
AAGAAGCAUUGUGGCAGGAGGGGACACAUGUAGGAGUUUACUGGGUAACCAUUUAAGGGCAACUUCACAUCCUUUUCCGCCUGCUCCUUGGAGAGAUAAGAGUGUGAAUUCUCACAGGUUGGUGUAGACUUGUUCUGUGGAAUUUGUUGCCUAGUAGUUCACUCAAGAAUAGUUGUCUUCCUGUAGGUCGCCUGCUUCCCUGCGGGACACAAGAUGGCUCUGCCUUUUUAUCAGAAGUCCCACCAGCACUAUGACCUCAGCUACCGCGACAAAGACCUUCGCACCACCGUGAGCCAUUACCAGCAGGAGAAGAAGCACUCUGCCAUCUACACACACGGCUCCGCAGCCUACACCAGCCGCUCCUCUGCUGCCCACCGCCAGGAGUCCGAGGCUUUCAGCCAGGUGGCGGCCUCCUCCCAGCAGCAGGCCUCACACUACUCCCUAGGGGCUGAAGUCAGCCGCAAAGCCACCUCAGCCUAUGACUACGGCUACUCCCACGGGCUUACCGGCUCCAGUUUGCUGCUAGAAGAUUAUUCAUCCAGCUUGAGCCCCAAAACAAAGAGAGCAAAGCACAGUCUUCAAUCCGGAGAGGAGAAGGAAAAUCUGCCAGGAAACUACAUGGUGCCUAUUUAUUCUGGGCGGCAAGUGCACGUCAGUGGAAUUACAGACACAGAAGAAGAGAGAAUUAAAGAGGCGGCUGCUUAUAUAGCCCAGAGAAAUCUCCUUGCUAGUGAGGAAGAGAUCAGGACGUCCAAACAACUCACAAGAUCCAAACGGUCUGCCGUGUCCAAACAGGCCACAUCUACCUUGGAGCAGGAGGAAACAUUUGAAAAGUCAAGGGAAGCCACCAUUCGAGAAAAGGCAGACCUCCUGUCCCUGAGAAAAACAGUAAGAACAGACAGUUUAAUGCUACUCACAAAAGUGGAAAUGCAUGUAACAAGUUAA